AGCGAACGCUGGCGGCAGGCCUAACACAUGCAAGUCGAACGAACUCUUCGGAGUUAGUGGCGGACGGGUGAGUAACACGUGGGAACGUGCCUUUUGGUUCGGAAUAACUCAGGGAAACUUGUGCUAAUACCGAAUGUGCCCUUCGGGGGAAAGAUUUAUCGCCAUUAGAGCGGCCCGCGUCUGAUUAGCUAGUUGGUGAGGUAACGGCUCACCAAGGCGACGAUCAGUAGCUGGUCUGAGAGGAUGACCAGCCACACUGGGACUGAGACACGGCCCAGACUCCUACGGGAGGCAGCAGUGGGGAAUCUUGCGCAAUGGGCGAAAGCCUGACGCAGCCAUGCCGCGUGAAUGAUGAAGGUCUUAGGAUUGUAAAAUUGUUUCACCGGGGACGAUAAUGACGGUACCCGGAGAAGAAGCCCCGGCUAACUUCGUG
rnacentral:rRNA from 1 species